rnacentral:rRNA from 1 species
UACGGAGGGUGCAAGCGUUAAUCGGAAUUACUGGGCGUAAAGCGCACGCAGGUGGCUGAGUCAGUCGAUUGUGAAAGCCCUGGGCUUAACCCUGGGAAUUGCAGUCGAGUACUACUCGGCUCGAGUAUGGGAGAGGGCAGUGGAAUUCCCGGUGUAGCGGGUGAAAUGCGUAGAUAUCGGGAGGAACACCGGUGGCGAAGGCGGU